UAAUGGCAGGUCAGCAUACUGCCGUGAAUACGUUCCCGGGCCUUGUACACACCGCCUGUCACACCAUGAGAGUUGGAGAUACCCGAAGCCUGUGAGCUAACUUUUAGAGGCAGCAGUCGAAGGUAGAAUCAAUGAUUGGGGUGAAGUCGUAACAAGGUACC
rnacentral:rRNA from 1 species